UACGGGGGGGGCAAGCGUUGUUCGGAAUUACUGGGCGUAAAGCGUGCGUAGGCGGCUCUUCAAGUCGAGUGUGAAAGCUCCAGGCUUAACCUGGGAAUUGCGCUCGAUACUGUUGAGCUAGAGUGUGGAAGGGGCUACUGGAAUUCCGUGUGUAGCGGUGAAAUGCGUAGAUAUUGGGAAGAACACCGGAGGCGAAGGCGGGUUGCUGGGCCGAUACUGACGCUGAGGCGCGAAAGCCAGGGGAGCAAACGGG
rnacentral:rRNA from 1 species